AGUGUCCAGGGAUGGGAAUCGAACCCACGGUGUUCCGCUUACCGGACAGAUGUCAUGUCCACUAGGCUGAAAAGAAACAC
rnacentral:tRNA from 1 species